rnacentral:rRNA from 1 species
AGAACGAACGCUGGCGGCAGGCUUAACACAUGCAAGUCGAGCGCUCCUUUCGGGGAGAGCGGCGGACGGGUGAGUAACGCGUGGGAACGUGCCUUUUGCUACGGAAUAGCCCAGGGAAACUUGGAUUAAUGCCGUAUGUGCCCUUCGGGGGAAAGAUUUAUCGGCAAAGGAUCGGCCCGCGUCUGAUUAGGUAGUUGGUGGGGUAACGGCCUACCAAGCCGACGAUCAGUAGCUGGUUUGAGAGGAUGAUCAGCCACACUGGGACUGAGACACGGCCCAGACUCCUACGGGAGGCAGCAGUGGGGAAUCUUGGACAAUGGGGGCAACCCUGAUCCAGCCAUGCCGCGUGAACGAUGAAGGCCUUAGGGUUGUAAAGUUCUUUCAGGCGGGGAAGAUAAUGACGGUACCGCAGAAGAAGCCCUGCUAACUCCGUGCCAGCAGCCGC